rnacentral:lncRNA from 1 species
AGCGGACAGUGCUGCGGGCGGGCGGGCGGAAGCCCUGAGGACACGGGAAAGCUUUGGCGGCCGCGGAGCCAUCCUCUCCCCGCCCCGCUCGGGCCUCACACAGCCGGGAGAGGCCUCAGAGCUGUGCGUGAGGCCCGGCAUGAGCGUGAGAGCGGGGAACCAGCUUGUGGACGGCGGGGACCCGGCACGGCGCGGAGGCCCGGGAGAAUAACGGAGGCCAAGAGGGCGAGGUAUUUACUGGAGACAGACUCCCAGGCUGACGUCAGACUCUCAACUCAGGAUCCUUACUCCUCCAUCUCCCAAGGGUUGGGAUUUCAGGCGUGGGCCAUGGCCCGUUUUACCGGAUGCUGGAGAUCGAACCCAGGAUUUCGUGCGUGCUGAACUAACGUAACAGAGCUACAAUCCUAGUUCCUAGAUCUAGUAUUUAAAUUUGUAAUUAAAAAAAAAAAAGUCUUUAAAGUUUUAGUAAGGAAAUUAGGUCUCUGAAUCCUAUGGCCAUGGCAUCUGUUCCAGGAGAGAGGAGAGGGUGGCCCUCCCCAUGGUGCAGGGCUGUGAUGCCAACCGGGCAGUCAAAGGUCCCACUCACCAGCCUUCUUAAGUGCACUCCUGUAAGUAGGAUAGCACAGCC